UCCCUGGUGGCUCAGAUGGUAAAGAAUCUGCCUGCAAUGCAGGGGACCUGGGUUUGAUCCCUGGGUAGGGAA
rnacentral:tRNA from 1 species